AUUGAACGCUGGCGGCAGGCCUAACACAUGCAAGUCGAGCGGAUGAAGGGAGCUUGCUCCUGGAUUCAGCGGCGGACGGGUGAGUAAUGCCUAGGAAUCUGCCUGGUAGUGGGGGAUAACGUCCGGAAACGGGCGCUAAUACCGCAUACGUCCUGAGGGAGAAAGUGGGGGAUCUUCGGACCUCACGCUAUCAGAUGAGCCUAGGUCGGAUUAGCUAGUUGGUGGGGUAAAGGCCUACCAAGGCGACGAUCCGUAACUGGUCUGAGAGGAUGAUCAGUCACUCUGGAACUGAGACACGGUCCAGGCUCCUACGGGAGGCAGCAGUGGGGCAUAUUGGACAAUGGGCGAAAGCCUGAUCCAGCCAUGCCGCGUGUGUGAAGAAGGUCUUCGGAUUGUAAAGCACUUUAAGUUGGGAGGAAGGGCAGUAAGUUAAUACCUUGCUGUUUUGACGUUACCAACAGAAUAAGCACCGGCUAACGUCG
rnacentral:rRNA from 1 species